rnacentral:rRNA from 1 species
GACGAACGCUGGCGGCGUGCUUAACACAUGCAAGUCGAACGGAAAGGCCCUGCUUUUGUGGGGUGCUCGAGUGGCGAACGGGUGAGUAACACGUGAGUAACCUGCCCUUGACUUUGGGAUAACUUCAGGAAACUGGGGCUAAUACCGGAUAGGAGCUCCUGCUGCAUGGUGGGGGUUGGAAAGUUUCGGCGGUUGGGGAUGGACUCGCGGCUUAUCAGCUUGUUGGUGGGGUAGUGGCUUACCAAGGCUUUGACGGGUAGCCGGCCUGAGAGGGUGACCGGCGACAAGGGGACUGCGAGACGGCCCAGACUCCUACGGGAGGCAGCAGGGGGGAAUAUUGCACAAUGGGCGGAAGCCUGAUGCAGCAACGCCGCGUGCGUGAUGACGGCCUUCGGGUUGUAAACCGCUUUCGCCUGUGACGAAGCGUGAGUGACGGUAAUGGGUAAAGAAGCACCGGCUAACUACGUG